UCGCCUACGGGGGGCAGCAGUGGGGGAUAUUGCACAAUGGGGGGAACCCUGAUGCAGCGACGCCGCGUGGGUGAAGAAGCGCCUCGGCGCGUAAAGCCCUGUCAGCAGGGAAGAAAAUGACGGUACCUGAAGAAGAAGCCCCGGCUAACUACGUGCCAGCAGCCGUGGUAAUACGUAGGUGGCAAGCGUUGUCCGGAUUUACUGGGUGUAAAGGGCGUGCAGCCGGGCUGACAAGUCAGAUGUGAAAUCCCGCGGCUCAACCGCGGAACUGCAUUUGAAACUGUCAGUCUUGAGUACCGGAGAGG
rnacentral:rRNA from 1 species